UACGGGGGGGGCAAGCGUUGUUCGGAAUUACUGGGCGUAAAGGGCGCGUAGGCGGCCUUUUAAGUCGGACGUGAAAUCCCUCGGCUUAACCGAGGAACUGCGUCCGAUACUGAAAGGCUUGAAUCCGGGAGAGGGAUGUGGAAUUCCUGGUGUAGCGGUGAAAUGCGCAGAUAUCAGGAGGAACACCGGUGGCGAAGGCGGGUCUCUGGGCCGGAACUGACGCUGAGGAGCGAAAGCGUGGGGAGCGAACAGG
rnacentral:rRNA from 1 species